rnacentral:rRNA from 1 species
UUUGGUGGCGAUAGCGAAGAGGUCACACCCGUUCCCAUAUCGAACACGGAAGUUAAGCUCUUCAGCGCCGAUGGUAGUCGGGGGUUUCCCCCUGUGAGAGUAGGACGCCGCCAAGC